rnacentral:rRNA from 1 species
GAUGAACGCUGGCGGCGUGCUUAACACAUGCAAGUCGAACGGUGAACACGGAGCUUGCUCUGUGGGAUCAGUGGCGAACGGGUGAGUAACACGUGAGCAACCUGCCCCUGACUCUGGGAUAAGCGCUGGAAACGGCGUCUAAUACUGGAUAUGUGACGUGACCGCAUGGUCUGCGUUUGGAAAGAUUUUUCGGUUGGGGAUGGGCUCGCGGCCUAUCAGCUUGUUGGUGAGGUAAUGGCUCACCAAGGCGUCGUCGGGUAGCCGGCCUGAGAGGGUGACCGGCCACACUGGGACUGAGACACGGCCCAGACUCCUACGGGAGGCAGCAGUGGGGAAUAUUGCACAAUGGGCGCAAGCCUGAUGCAGCAACGCCGCGUGAGGGAUGACGGCCUUCGGGUUGUAAACCUCUUUUAGCAGGGAAGAAGCGAAAGUGACGGUACCUGCAGAAAAAGCGCCGGCUAACUACGUG